GGAGGAAGGGAAAAGAAUACAAGAAAAAAGGAAAAUGCAGCUUUUGCAAAUGGGAAGGAGAUCUAGAGUUGGGAGGAACAGGAAGGGAGAAGGGGAAGAGGGAAUAAAAAAAGAUUCAUUGAAGAAUUAUUAAAAGUAAUUUCAGAAAGAGAGAAAGAAAGAACUGGUCUCCAGAAUGAAUUAGAUUCUUUGAAGGAUGCUGUUGAACAUCAGAGGAAGAAAAACAAUGACCUCCGGGAGAAAAACUGGGAAGCAAUGGAAGCACUGGCAUCAACAGAAAAAAUGCUGCAGGACAAAGUGAACAAGACUUCCAAGGAAAGACAAUAUGUGGAAGCUGUUGAGUUGGAGGCUAAAGAAGUUCUUAAAAAAUUAUUUCCAAAGGUGUCUAUCCCUUCUAAUUAGAGUUACAGUGAAUGGUUGCAUGGAUUUGAAAAGAAAGCAAAAGAGUGUAUAGCUGGAACUUCAGGUUCAGAAGAAGUUAAGGUUUUAGAGUAUAAGUUGAAAGAAGCUGAUGAAACACACACACUAUUACAGCUGGAGUGUGAUAUGUAUAAAUCAGUUCUUGCAGAAACACUGAGAAGAGAGCAAGAGCAUUUGGAAAUGAAACUAGAGAAGGCAGAAAUUGAACGGUCUACUUAUGUUACAGAAGUGAGAGAGCUGAAAGAUCUGUUGACUGAAUUGCAGAAAAAACUUGAUGAUUCAUAUUCUGAAGCAGUAAGACAGAAUGAAGAGCUAAAUUUGUUGAAGACAUAGUUAAAUAAAACACUCAAGAAAAUUAAAACUGAACAAAGUGAAAGACAGAAGGUAGCUGGUGAUUUGGAUAAGGCACAACAGUUUCUGGAUCUUAUCCAGUCAAAAAUAGUACAAGCUUCUGGAGAUACUACUGUUAUUGAGAAUAGUGAUGUUUCCCCAGAAAUGGAGUCUUCAGAAAAGGAGACGAUGUCUGUAAGUCUAAAUCAGACUAUAGCACAGUUAUAGCAGUUGCUUCAGGCUGUAAACAGCUCACAAAGGAGAAAUAACACUACCAGGUUUGGAGUGAAGUAAUUGGGAAAUUUCAGUUGAGGACAGCAGAAGGCAUUGUAUUAUAUUUUGCCAAAUUAAAGCCUUAUUUAUGUUUUUACCCUUUCUACUUUGUCAGAAACACUGAACAGAGUUUUGUCUUUUCUAAUCCUUGUUAGACUACUGAUUUAAAGAGAAAAAUUUAAAAAGAAACCAACUCUGUAGACACCUUCAGAAUUUAGUUUUAUAAUAAAAACUGUUUGAAUAAUUAGACCUUUACAUUCCUGAAGAUAAACUUGUAAUAUUUUACCUUGAUCAAUUCAAUUGUUCAGAAGAUCAAAGUGGUAAAGACAAUGUAAAAUUUAACAUUUUAAUACUGAUGUUGUACACUGUUUUACUUAACACUUUGGGGGAGUAACUGCCUCUGACAUCAACUCAAGACACUUUUGUUGCUAAUGUAAUCAGUUUUUGUAAUGGCGGUCAGCAAAUAAAGGGAUGCUUAUUAUUCAAACUUGAAAAAAA
rnacentral:lncRNA from 1 species